rnacentral:rRNA from 1 species
AUAUUGCACAAUGGGGGAAACCCUGAUGCAGCGACGCCGCGUGAGUGAAGAAGCGUUUCGGCGCGUAAAGCUCUGUCAGCGGGGAAGAAACACGGUUCGCGAGAGCCGCGGACGGUACCCGACCAAGAAGCCCCGGCUAACUACGUGCCAGCAGCCGCGGUAAUACGUAGGGGGCAAGCGUUAUCCGGAUUCACUGGGUGUAAAGGGAGCGUAGACGGCGAGACAAGUCUGGAGUGAAAGGCCGGGGCCCAACCCCGGGACUGCUCUGGAAACUGCCUGGCUGGAGUACAGGAGAGGUAAGUGGAAUUCCUAGUGUAGCGGUGAAAUGCGUAGAUAUUAGGAGGAACACCAGUGGCGAAGGCGGCUUACUGGACUGUAACUGACGUUGAGGCUCGAAAGCGUGGGGAGCAAACAGGA